rnacentral:lncRNA from 1 species
CUGAACUCAAUAGCCUUGUUCAACAGGUAGUUUUCCUUCUAAGUUUUGGGAGAAAUAGUGUUUCAAAUGCAAAUGCGAUGUCGUUUUAAUGAAUGUGAACUUGCAGCGACAUCGUAUGUUAGGUGAAAGAAGAUUUAUGAUGACAUUAGAGAAAUGAAUUGUAAUUUAUAAGGCGCAUGGUUCAACUUUGGUGAGAACAUCGUGAAUUUUCCAAAAUAGAACAGGAAUUUGUUUG